rnacentral:tRNA from 1 species
GGAGGGAUGCCGGAGCGGUUGAACGGGGCUGUCUCGAAAACAGUUGAUCUGCCUAAAGUGGAUCCGGGGGUUCGAAUCCCCCUCCCUCCG